AUGCAUUUGGAGUGUUUUAACCCAUCCUGUAAUGUUCAAAGCAAACUUAGCUCUUUUCCCAUGUAUCCAUAUAAUAGGUUUCACGUUUCAAAUAAAAGUAGUUCUACGUUAUUUUCACUUUUUUUUUGUUUUCAUAACUUUAACCCAUCUUUUUCUUUAUAAACUUUCAUUUUCUUUAUUUUUUUUGUUCAUAAUCAUUAUUUUAAAACAACGUAUUAUGAUAUGAAUAUAUUAUAUUUUAGAAUUAUAAAAAUUCAAAUAUCAAGACCUUACAAUUUAAGUCAAUAAAAUUUAUCACAAAAAUACACAUAUUCUCUUGUUUUAAUGUUUAAAACAUAUAUUUAAUUUUUCAAAAUGGUCUAAAAUAAGUACUUCAAUCUACCAAUGAUGAUUUGGUGCACUAAACCUAAUCACCUUGAGAAGGCUACUACGUUAAACAAAUACAUUAGGUAGCUAAGUAAUAUGGAAAUGAAUAUGUCAUUUUGAAUCAAUGACAUGCAUUUGAAGUGUUUUAACCCAUCCUGUAAUGUUCAAAGCAAACUUAGCUCUUUUCCGACGUAUCCGUCUAAUAGGUUUCACGUUUAUAAUAAAAGUAGUUCUACGUUAUUUCACAUUUUUUUUGUUUUCAUAACUUUAACCCAUCUAUGUCUUUAUAAACUUUCAUUUUCUUUAUUUUUUUGUUCAUGAUCAUUAUUUUAAAACAACAUAUUAUGAUAUGAAUAUAUUAUAUUUUAGAAUUUUAGAUUUAUAAAAAUUCAAAUAUCAAUACAUUACAAUUUAAGUCAAUAAAAUUAAUCAUAAAAAUACACAUAUUCUCUUGUUUUAGUGUUUAAAACAUAAGUUCAUUUUUAAAAAUGGUCUAAAAUAAGUAAUUCAAUCUACCAAUGAUGAUUUGGUGUAAUAAACCUAGUCACCUUGAGAAGGCUACUAUGUUAAACAAAUACAUUAGGUAGCUAAGUAAUAUGGAAAUGAAUAUGUCAUUUUGAAUCAAUGACAUGCAUUUGGAGUGUUUUAACCCAUCCUGUAAUGUUCAAAGCAAACUUAGCUCUUUUCCCAUGUAUCCAUCUAAUAGGUUUCACGUUUCAAAUAAAAGUAGUUCUACGUUAUUUUCACAUUUUUUUUUUUUUCAUAACUUUAACCCAUCUUUGUCUUUAUAAACUUUCAUUUUCUUUAUUUUUUAGUUCAUGAUCAUUAUUUUAAAACAACAUAUUAUGAUAUGAAUAUAUUAUAUUUUAGAAUUUUAGAUUUAUAAAAAUUCAAAUAUCAAUACAUUACAAUUUAAGUCAAUAAAAUUAAUCAUAAAAAUACACAUAUUCUCUUGUUUUAGUGUUUAAAACAUAAGUUCAUUUUUAAAAAUGGUCUAAAAUAAGUAAUUCAAUCUACCAAUGAUGAUUUGGUGUAAUAAACCUAGUCACCUUGAGAAGGCUACUAUGUUAAACAAAUACAUUAGGUAGCUAAGUAAUAUGGAAAUGAAUAUGUCAUUUUGAAUCAAUGACAUGCAUUUGGAGUGUUUUAACCCAUCCUGUAAUGUUCAAAGCAAACUUAGCUCUUUUCCCAUGUAUCCAUCUAAUAGGUUUCACGUUUCAAAUAAAAGUAGUUCUACGUUAUUUUCACAUUUUUUUUUUUUUUCCAUAACUUUAACCCAUCUAUAUCUUUAUAAACUUUCAUUUUCUUUAUUUUUUUGUUCAUGAUCAUUAUUUUAAAACAACAUAUUAUGAUAUGAAUAUAUUAUAUUUUAGAAUUUUAGAUUUAUAAAAAUUCAAAUAUCAAUACAUUACAAUUUAAGUCAAUAAAAUUAAUCAUAAAAAUACACAUAUUCUCUUGUUUUAGUGUUUAAAACAUAAGUUCAUUUUUAAAAAUGGUCUAAAAUAAGUAAUUCAAUCUACCAAUGAUGAUUUGGUGUAAUAAACCUAGUCACCUUGAGAAGGCUACUAUGUUAAACAAAUACAUUAGGUAGCUAAGUAAUAUGGAAAUGAAUAUGUCAUUUUGAAUCAAUGACAUGCAUUUGGAGUGUUUUAACCCAUCCUGUAAUGUUCAAAGCAAACUUAGCUCUUUUCCCAUGUAUCCAUCUAAUAGGUUUCACGUUUCAAAUAAAAGUAGUUCUACGUUAUUUUCACAUUUUUUUUUUUUUUCAUAACUUUAACCCAUCUUUGUCUUUAUAAACUUUCAUUUUCUUUAUUUUUUUGUUCAUGAUCAUUAUUUUAAAACAACAUAUUAUGAUAUGAAUAUAUUAUAUUUUAGAAUUUUAGAUUUAUAAAAAUUCAAAUAUCAAUACAUUACAAUUUAAGUCAAUAAAAUUAAUCAUAAAAAUACACAUAUUCUCUUGUUUUAGUGUUUAAAACAUAAGUUCAUUUUUAAAAAUGGUCUAAAAUAAGUAAUUCAAUCUACCAAUGAUGAUUUGGUGUAAUAAACCUAGUCACCUUGAGAAGGCUACUAUGUUAAACAAAUACAUUAGGUAGCUAAGUAAUAUGGAAAUGAAUAUGUCAUUUUGAAUCAAUGACAUGCAUUUGGAGUGUUUUAACCCAUCCUGUAAUGUUCAAAGCAAACUUAGCUCUUUUCCCAUGUAUCCAUCUAAUAGGUUUCACGUUUCAAAUAAAAGUAGUUCUACGUUAUUUUCACAUUUUUUUUUUUUUUCAUAACUUUAACCCAUCUUUGUCUUUAUAAACUUUCAUUUUCUUUAUUUUUUUGUUCAUGAUCAUUAUUUUAAAACAACAUAUUAUGAUAUGAAUAUAUUAUAUUUUAGAAUUUUAGAUUUAUAAAAACUCAAAUAUCAAUACAUUACAAUAUAAGUCAAUAAAAUUAAUCAUAAAAAUACACAUAUUCUCUUGUUUUAGUGUUUAAAAAAUAUAUUUAAUUUUUCUAAAUGGUCUAAAAUAAGUAAUUCAAUCUACCAAUGAUGAUUUGGUGUAAUAAACCUAGUCACCUUGAGUAGGCUACUAUGUUAAACAAAUACAUUAGGUAGCUAAGUAAUAUGGAAAUGAAUAUGUCAUUUUGAAUCAAUGACAUGCAUUUGGAGUGUUUUAACCCAUCCUGUAACGUUCAAAGCAAACUUAACUCUUUUCCCAUGUAUCCAUCUAAUAGGUUUCACGUUUCAAAUAAAAGUAGUUCUAUGUUAUUUUCACAUUUUUUUUUGUUUUCAUAACUUUAACCCAUCUUUGUCUUUAUAAACUUUCAUUUUCUUAAUUUUUUAGUUCAUGAUCAUUAUUUUAAUACAACAUAUUAUGAUAUGAAUAUAUUAUAUUUUAGAAUGUUAGAUUUAUAAAAACUCAAAUAUCAAUACAUUACAAUUUAAGUCAAUAAAAUUAAUCAUAAAAAUACACAUAUUCUCUUGUUUUAGUGUUUAAAACAUAAGUUCAUUUUUAAAAAUGGUCUAAAAUAAGUAAUUCAAUCUACCAAUGAUGAUUUGGUGUAAUAAACCUAGUCACCUUGAGAAGGCUACUAUGUUAAACAAAUACAUUAGGUAGCUAAGUAAUAUGGAAAUGAAUAUGUCAUUUUGAAUCAAUGACAUGCAUUUGGAGUGUUUUAACCCAUCCUGUAAUGUUCAAAGCAAACUUAGCUCUUUUCCCAUGUAUCCAUCUAAUAAGUUUCACGUAUCAAAUAAAAGUAGUUCUAUGUUAUUUUCACAUUUUUUUUUUGUUUUCAUAACUUUAACCCAUCUUUGUCUUUAUAAGCAUUCAUUUUCUUUAUUUUUUUGUUCAUGAUCAUUAUUUUAAAACAACAUAUUAUGAUAUGAAUAUAUUAUAUAUUAGAAUUUUAGAUUUAUAAAAAUUCAAAUAUCAAUACAUUACAAUUUAAGUCAAUAAAAUUAAUCAUAAAAAUACACAAAUUCUCUUGUUUUAGUGUUCAAAACAUAUAUUUAUUUUUUCAAAAUGGUCUAAAAUAAGUAAUUCAAUCUACCAAUGAUGAUUUGGUGUAAUAAACCUAGUCACCUUGAGAAGGCUACUAUGUUAAACAAAUACAUUAGGUAGCUAAGUAAUAUGGAAAUGAAUAUGUCAUUUUGAAUCAAUGACAUGCAUUUGGAGUGUUUUAACCCAUCCUGUAAUGUUCAAAGCAAACUUAGCUCUUUUCCCAUGUAUCCAUCUAAUAGGUUUCACGUUUCAAAUAAAAGUAGUUCUACGUUAUUUUCACAUUUUUUUUUGUUUUCAUAACUUUAACCCAUCUUUGUCUUUAUAAACUUUCAUUUUCUUUAUUUUUUUGUUCAUGAUCAUUAUUUUAAAACAACAUAUUAUGAUAUGAAUAUAUUAUAUUUUAGAAUUUUAGAUUUAUAAAAAUUCAAAUAUCAAUACAUUACAAUUUAAGUCAAUAAAAUUAAUCAUAAAAAUACACAUAUUCUCUUGUUUUAGUGUUUAAAACAUAAGUUCAUUUUUAAAAAUGGUCUAAAAUAAGUAAUUCAAUCUACCAAUGAUGAUUUGGUGUAAUAAACCUAGUCACCUUGAGAAGGCUACUAUGUUAAACAAAUACAUUAGGUAGCUAAGUAAUAUGGAAAUGAAUAUGUCAUUUUGAAUCAAUGACAUGCAUUUGGAGUGUUUUAACCCAUCCUGUAAUGUUCAAAGCAAACUUAGCUCUUUUCCCAUGUAUCCAUCUAAUAGGUUUCACGUUUCAAAUAAAAGUAGUUCUACGUUAUUUUCACAUUUUUUUUUGUUUUCAUAACUUUAACCCAUCUUUGUCUUUAUAAACUUUCAUUUUCUUUAUUUUUUUGUUCAUGAUCAUUAUUUUAAAACAACAUAUUAUGAUAUGAAUAUAUUAUAUUUUAGAAUUUUAGAUUUAUAAAAAUUCAAAUAUCAAUACAUUACAAUUUAAGUCAAUAAAAUUAAUCAUAAAAAUACACAUAUUCUCUUGUUUUAGUGUUUAAAACAUAAGUUCAUUUUUAAAAAUGGUCUAAAAUAAGUAAUUCAAUCUACCAAUGAUGAUUUGGUGUAAUAAACCUAGUCACCUUGAGAAGGCUACUAUGUUAAACAAAUACAUUAGGUAGCUAAGUAAUAUGGAAAUGAAUAUGUCAUUUUGAAUCAAUGACAUGCAUUUGGAGUGUUUUAACCCAUCCUGUAAUGUUCAAAGCAAACUUAGCUCUUUUCCCAUGUAUCCAUCUAAUAGGUUUCACGUUUCAAAUAAAAGUAGUUCUACGUUAUUUUCACAUUUUUUUUUGUUUUCAUAACUUUAACCCAUCUUUGUCUUUAUAAACUUUCAUUUUCUUUAUUUUUUUGUUCAUGAUCAUUAUUUUAAAACAACAUAUUAUGAUAUGAAUAUAUUAUAUUUUAGAAUUUUAGAUUUAUAAAAACUCAAAUAUCAAUACAUUACAAUUUAAGUCAAUAAAAUUAAUCAUAAAAAUACACAUAUUCUCUUGUUUUAGUGUUUAAAACAUAAGUUCAUUUUUAAAAAUGGUCUAAAAUAAGUAAUUCAAUCUACCAAUGAUGAUUUGGUGUAAUAAACCUAGUCACCUUGAGAAGGCUACUAUGUUAAACAAAUACAUUAGGUAGCUAAGUAAUAUGGAAAUGAGAUAUUUUUUUCUUUAUUUUUUUGUUCAUGAUCAUUAUUUUAAAACAACAUAUUAUGAUAUGAAUAUAUUAUAUUUUAGAAUUUUAGAUUUAUAAAAACUCAAAUAUCAAUACAUUACAAUUUAAGUCAAUAAAAUUAAUCAUAAAAAUACACAUAUUCUCUUGUUUUAGUGUUUAAAACAUAUAUUUAAUUUUUCAAAAUGGUCAAAAAUAAGUAAUUCACUUUACCAAUGAUGAUUUGGUGUAAUAAACCUAGUCACCCUUAGAAGGCUACUAUGUUAAACAAAUAAAUUAAGUAGCUAAGUAAAAUGGAUAUGACUAUGUCAUUUUAAAUCAAUGACAUGCAUUUGGAGUGUUUCAACCCAUCCUGUAUUGUUCAAAGCAAAUUUAGAUCUUCACCCAUGUAUCCAUCUAAUAGAUUUCACGUUUCAAAUAAAAGUAGUUCUAUGUUAUUUUCACAGUUUUUUUUUUGUUUUCAUAAAUUUAACCCAUCUCUGUCUUUAUAAACUUUCAUUUUCUUUAUUUUUUUGUUCAUGAUCAUUAUUUCAAAAACAACAUAUUAUGAUAUGAAUAUAUUAUAUUUUAGAAUUUUAGAAUUAUAAAAAUUCAAAUAUCAAUACCUUACAAUUUAAGUUAAUAAAACUAAUCAUAAAAAUACACAUAUUCUCUUGUUUUAAUGUUUAAAACAUAUUUUUAAUUUUUCAAAAUGGUCUAAAAUAAGUAAUUCAAUCUACCAAUGAUGAUUUGGUGCAAUAAACCUAAUCACCUUGAGAAGGCUACUAUGUUAAACAAAUACAUUAGGUAGCUAAGUAAUAUGUAAAUGAAUAUGUCAUUUUGAAUCAAUGACAUGCAUUUGGAGUGUUUUAACCCAUCCUGUAAUGUUCAAAGCAAACUUAGCUCUUUUCCCAUGUAUCCAUCUAAUAGGUUUCACGUUUAUAAUAAAAGUAGUUCUAC
rnacentral:lncRNA from 1 species